CCUACGGGAGGCAGCAGUGGGGAAUAUUGGGCAAUGGGCGAAAGCCUGACCCAGCAGCGCCGCGUGAAGGAAGAAGGCUUUCGGGUUGUAAACUUCUUUUGACAGGGAAGAGCAGAAGACGGUACCUGUCGAAUAAGCCACGGCUAACUACGUGCCAGCAGCCGCGGUAAUACGUAGGUGGCAAGCGUUGUCCGGAUUUACUGGGUGUAAAGGGCGUGUAGCCGGGCUGACAAGUCAGAUGUGAAAUCCGGGGGCUCAACCCCCGAACUGCAUUUGAAACUGUUGGUCUUGAGUAUCGGAGAGGCAGGCGGAAUUCCUGGUGUAGCGGUGAAAUGCGUAGAUAUUAGGAGGAACACCAGUGGCGAAGGCGACGAUCUGGCCUGCAACUGACGCUCAGUCCCGAAAGCGUGGGGAGCAAAUAGGAUUAGAUACCCGGGUAGUC
rnacentral:rRNA from 1 species